rnacentral:lncRNA from 1 species
AUCGCAGCAACCACCGGCCGUCUCCAUUCCUCUUCUCCUUUCAUUCGUGCCCAGCCGCAGCCCAGCCGCAGCCAGCCGUCGGUCCCUUCCUUCCAUUUUCUUCUUCCGUCCGCAGCCCCGCCGCAAACCGUCGUCUCCCCUACUGAAGCCGAAUGACCGGUCUGCCGUCUCCAUCUCCGGUUCCGCGCGCCGAUCUGCCGAACCCAACCGCCACCCUCUCUUUUCUCCUUCGGAUCGAAAACCGCCGCGCCCAUCCACCGUCGUCCAGAUCUGCAUCACAACCGCCGCCGCUCGUGCUUCACCCUGGUAGUUCGCAGUAACCCAGAUCCGCCGCUUAUAACCGUCGGCCGGUUCGUGAAGCCAGCCGCGCAACCUUCGUUCCAACCGCUGCACUACCGCGCGAUUCUCCGGCCACGUCUUCUUUAGCCGACCGCUGACCGACCCACACUCUUUUCUCUUCUUUUGGGGGUAAGUUGAGAUUCCCUCUGCAAAAGUUAGAAGGGAAAGAAAAAAAAAAACUAACAAUCAUUCUCAAAUAGAAGCUUUCAACACAAAGCCCCACCCUCUGAUUUUUCUCUUCACUUCUCAACUUUAAUGUGACUCAUUUUGUUUUUGUUUGCUGUCACAUUCUUCAAUUUUUUAUUUGGGUUUUCCCCCCUCUUUUUACCUUAGAUGAAUGUUGUUGUGAAUUCUUCUUUUCUUUAUAUACAUAUGUGCAGAACCUUCAUCGUAUGAAUAUGUAAAAACAAUAGUUAUGAUCAUACUUAGAACAGAUUGAUUCUUACUAACCGAUCUCAUGCGACAAGUUGGACCAUCACUAUUGAAAUGCUUGUCGAAAAAAUGUUCAUUAGCUUAGGAUACAGUUGAAUUUCCAAAAAUUCUCUGCAUCUUGACAAGAACAUGGCUGCACGGGUUCUUCAUUUUUAUUAUCUUCUGCUGUGUGCAUUCUAAUUUGACUUGUUUAGUUUUAGUACUUUGUGGUUGCUUUUGAUUUACUUAAUCCUAACAGAGAAAUUGUCUCUGGUGCAGUUGUUGACAUCGUUGGUGAGAAGAUGGUGAUGACUGAUGAUGGACAGACAUCAUCCACUUGCCUGUAUCAUAGUUUGUGCAUUAAAGGGACCUUAUAAACUAACUGGUAAGAGUCCUAGAACGAAGAAGAAAAUGGCCAAGAAACUUUGAAGAUAUAGCAGUGGAAGCUUUUUUCUGGACCAAGCCCUUUGUUGAACUAAUGGUGAAUAUUAUUUUGGAUCGCCUGUGAGAGUGAUUUGUAAAUUUUAAGAUAAUUGGCCAUUGCUUUGUCUUAUGGUAAAUAGAGAGUAUGGCAUUGCUUUGUCUCAUAAUUUUAUUGAAUUGUGUUCUCUAACUUCGUUCUUUUAACUUUAUAAUUUUCAAUGCAAUGUUGAUAAUUUGUGAUUUCAGAGAAGGCUUGAUGACAUACACACCAUUUAUUGCAAGAACUUGAAGAAGAUGAGAUUUCAGAGAAGUUCUAAGUUUUAAUGUUAUUCUCAUUUUGUUUGUAG